UAGCUGGUGCCUGUUGUUAUAUGUAAACCAUCAUCUCAACUUCAGCUCUUACAAAACGUGCAAUUCAUCUCACAAAAUGAUUUGUUUUGCAGACUGCAGAAAAAGCAGAAGUACAGGAAAGUGUCUGUGUGGCUUUGUCAGGAGCACCUGAUUUGCAGUAGUUCUGCAGGAAAUGCUUUGGGGAUGGCACUGGCUUACAAACAAUAGGGUUAGCUGUCUGCAGAAAGGGAACAUACCAAUGAAAUCAUAAAGCAGAAGAGAAUGGCAGAAAACACCAAGGCUGAUUCAGAACUUCAGGAUUUGGGAUGGGACCUGCAAUCUCCCGAAUUUCUGUGGCAAAAGAGAGGAAAGUACUUUCAGACUGCACAUCCUUAGGAGAGGAGCACUGGU